rnacentral:rRNA from 1 species
UACGAAGGGGGCUAGCGUUGCUCGGAAUCACUGGGCGUAAAGCGCACGUAGGCGGCUUUUUAAGUCAGAGGUGAAAUCCUGGAGCUCAACUCCAGAACUGCCUUUGAUACUGAGAGGCUUGAGUCCGGGAGAGGUGAGUGGAACUGCGAGUGUAGAGGUGAAAUUCGUAGAUAUUCGCAAGAACACCAGUGGCGAAGGCGGCUCACUGGCCCGGUACUGACGCUGAGACGCGAAAGCGUGGGGAGCGAACAGG